AAACUUUCAACAACGGAUCUCUUGGUUCUCGCAUCGAUGAAGAACGCAGCGAAACGCGAUAGUUAAUGUGAAUUGCAGAAUUCAGUGAAUCAUCGAGUCUUUGAACGCACAUUGCGCCCAUUGGUAUUCCGAUGGGCAUGUCUGUUUGAGCGUCAUU
rnacentral:rRNA from 1 species